rnacentral:rRNA from 1 species
GACGAACGCUGGCGGCGUGCUUAACACAUGCAAGUCGAACGGAAAGGCCCUGCUUUUGUGGGGUGCUCGAGUGGCGAACGGGUGAGUAACACGUGAGUAACCUGCCCUUGACUUUGGGAUAACUUCAGGAAAUUGGGCUUAUACCGGAUAGGAGCUCCUGCUGCAUGGUGGGGGUUGGAAAGUUUCGGCGGUUGGGGAUGGACUCGCGGCUUAUCAGCUUGUUGGUGGGGUAGUGGCUUACCAAGGCUUUGACGGGUAGCCGGCCUGAGAGGGUGACCGGCCACAUUGGGACUGAGAUACGGCCCAGACUCCUACGGGAGGCAGCAGUGGGGAAUAUUGCACAAUGGGCGGAAGCCUGAUGCAGCAACGCCGCGUGCGGGAUGACGGCCUUCGGGUUGUAAACCGCUUUCGCCUGUGACGAAGCGUGAGUGACGGUAAUGGGUAAAGAAGCACCGGCUAACUACGUG